rnacentral:rRNA from 1 species
UACGUAGGCAGCGAGCGUUGUUCGGAGUUACUGGGCGUAAAGAGUGCGUAGGCGGUUUUCUAAGUUUGGUGUGAAAUCUCCCGGCUCAACUGGGAGGGUGCGCCGAAGACUGGAAGGCUUGAGUAUGGGAGAGGUAAGCGGAAUUCCUGGUGUAGCGGUGAAAUGCGUAGAUAUCAGGAAGAACACCCGUGGCGAAGGCGGCUCUCUGGGACGGUACUGACGCUGAGACGCGAAAGCGUGGGGAGCGAACAGG